rnacentral:rRNA from 1 species
GACAGAGGGGGCAAGCGUUGCUCGGAAUUACUGGGCGUAAAGGGCGUGUAGGCGGAAUGGCAAGUCGGUCGUGAAAUCCUUCGGCUCAACCGAAGAACGUCGAUCGAAACUGCCGUUCUUGAGGAUUGCAGAGGAGACUGGAAUUCCCGGUGUAGCGGUGAAAUGUGUAGAGAUCGGGAGGAACACCGGUGGCGAAGGCGGGUCUCUGGGCAAUUCCUGACGCUGAGGCGCGAAAGCGUGGGGAGCAAACGGG